AUUGAACGCUGGCGGCAGGCCUAACACAUGCAAGUCGAGCGGAUGAAGGGAGCUUGCUCCUGGAUUCAGCGGCGGACGGGUGAGUAAUGCCUAGGAAUCUGCCUGGUAGUGGGGGAUAACGUCCGGAAACGGGCGCUAAUACCGCAUACGUCCUGAGGGAGAAAGUGGGGGAUCUUCGGACCUCACGCUAUCAGAUGAGCCUAGGUCGGAUUAGCUAGUUGGUGGGGUAAAGGCCUACCAAGGCGACGAUCCGUAACUGGUCUGAGAGGAUGAUCAGUCACACUGGAACUGAGACACGAUCCAGACUCCUACGGGAGGCAGCAGUGGGGAAUAUUGGACAAUGGGCGAAAGCCUGAUCCAGCCAUGCCGCGUGUGUGAAGAAGGUCUUCGGAUUGUAAAGCACUUUAAGUUGAGAGGAAGGGCAGUAAGUUAAUACCUUGCUGUUUUGACGUUACCAACAGAAUAAGCACCGGCUAACUUCGUG
rnacentral:rRNA from 1 species